GUAAGGGGGGCAUCUAAGAGAGUCACAUGUAAGGAAGUGGGGAACCUCCAAUUUUCCAGGGGUGUCCCCAUCAAGCCCACUUCUUAGGCAGACUUGGUGUGCAGUCCUUUGACAGGGAGGUGUGAGAGAAGUUACAAAAUUGACCAAGUCAAUACCCCGUAGUGACAAAGGGCAUCUGACACCCCACCCCCGCACCCCCCGCCUCGGUGGCUGUUUUGCUUGAAAGACCAGUGCCCCUGUCUUGAAGGAAAAUGAUCCACAUGGGAACAGUGGCCAACCCUAGGCCCCUGUUACCUGUGCGUUCAACUCCAGUGGGAACCUGGGUGGCUGGCUGAAGGCCCACUUUCGGGGCUGGGGGCCCCCGAGGAUCCAGCUUCGGUGGGGCUGGAGGAGGCAGGCCCUGCGUGCAGUGCAUCCACUGCAACUGCUGAAUCUGCAUCUCCUCCUCGGCCUCAAAUUCCGUGAACCUGGGGGGUGACGGAGGCACAGGCCACCCUGAGAAAAUGGCCUGGGUUCUGGAGCCCAACAAAGGCAGCCAAGAAUGAGGGAUUGGGAGAGGAUGUGCCUUGGCGCUGUCAAGGCCCUGCAAGGUGCUGUCCACAGCAGAGAGCUGCUCCUGGAACUGAUACAAGAUCUGGGACCCUUCCUGCCUCACCAGCACUGGAGAGCAUUCAACAGCAUAGAGCCAGGUCGCUGCAUUGAACCAGGUCAACGGGACACGUGGCUGACCCAGGGGGCACCCUCCUCAUGCCCCCCAUCCAGAGCCACAUGAAGGGCUGACAGCCAGAGUCUGGAACAGGCAUGUGUUCCCCACAGGGGUCCUUGCCCGAAUCCAGGACCCUGGGUUGCGACUGAGAGUCCUGGAACAUAGACCUGGAGACAGGGCUCAGGACAAGCUGGACGAUGUGGAUGCUGAGCUUAGAGGACAGGCCUUCCUUUCCUCUGAGAGGCGCUUGUUUGUUUGGUUUUGUUUCUUAAACCAAGGGGAUUACCGUGGAGCAAACACUGGAAGGGCCAGAGACCUUUGGGCUGACGACAGCUGGCUUCCCCAGCCCCUUCAGGGAUGCCAGGGUACCCACUCAGGCCACUUUUCAUGAGGAGAGGGGGUCCCAAAUCUAUGUCAGUGGCCGCCGUCAGCCACCAUGAAGGAAGCAGCAGGCUGGCGGGUGGAGCUCUUUCCCCGGCCCAGCCCAUAUGGCCGGAGUUGGACCCCUACUGGACUCACAGCUUCACCCUGCCCCGUCCUGAGACCUUCAUGUCAGGGGAGGGCAGAGCUCCUGGUGGAGGAAGGACAGAAGACCCAAACUCUCAAGGUGAGGGAGGGGUUUCUGGAGGACUGUAGGGCCUCUGGGCUGCGGGGUCCCUGUUCCGAGCGACAGCCCUUCUCCUUUGUCCUCUCUGAUGAGCACCCCCACGGCCAGACCCUGCCCUCACCCACUCGCCUCACCCUCCACGCAGCCCCUGGGCCCAGGACGCUGACUCACUUUUGCGCCAUCUCGUAGUAGAUCAUCCGGUCAGAGUUGCUAAUGUGCUGCCAUUCCUGCACGGCCCUGCACAGUCCCUCCUCCAGCUUCAUGGUCGGCUUCAGGUGGGCCAGGGAUCGAAGCGCUGGGCUGUAAGCACUCGGGGUCAGUCUCCGUGCCCAGGCCAGCCCCCACCUGCCUGACCCCACCCGCCAAUGUGGACCACACAUCACUCAACACAGCAUGACUGAGCCACAGGAGGGUGAGAGGCAGGUGUCUGGGACGUGGCAGAGACAAGCCUUCCCGGCUACCGCUGUCACCGCCUCACACUCCCUCGAGGAUGACCAUCCACUCCCAGGCCAGAGCUGGGACACUGUGCCUUGGGGAGCUCUUUUCCUCUUCAAGGCUGCCUUUUCAUAAUAAAAAUCACUAUCAUCAGUGAGGCGUGGCAUGUGCCAGGCAAUCUGCUCACACUUCAUAGAUUAGCCCAAGGAGUCUUCUGCACGGUCCUCUGAGUGAAGUGUGAUUGUCCCCUUUUUACGAGGGACCGCAGGUUUAGGAUGGAAAUGCCUGCCAGGCUCACAAAUCUAGCGGGAGAGAGCCCACGCCCUUAGGAGAGCUCUACCAUCACCCUGUUCCUACUGGAAUUCUCCACAACAACGAAGUCCAGGCGUGCAUUAAGCACACUCCGGGGCCCCGCCCUCCUCCCCCUCCUCCGAAGUGACCUCCCCCGGCCACGUACACUCAAGUCCUGUAUGAAAGGAGACGGCAGCACAGGAGAGUGUGGCAUCCACUCCUUGGCUCCUCAACGUACACCACGACCCUCUCUGACUGCAAGUCGUCAGGCCAUAUGACAUUGAGAAUCAUGGAAGAACAAGCUGGCUAGCCUCACAGGGGGGUGGGGUCAGUCGAGAUAAGGCACAUUUCAGUCAUGAUGUCAGGGACUGGCAGGCUCGCCCGUAUGGCCGACAAUGUGCCUUCCCAUGGCAUGGACAUCGCCCUCACACCUUGCUUCCAGGAUCCCUAGAAACCUAACCUGCGAGUCCAUCCCCAGUUCCUCUUUAUCUAAGAGCUCCGAUAAGCUCACGACCCCCGGAGCGUUCACUCACAUGAGAAAGCAGGAAAGAGCUUCCGCAUCAGGACUCUGGGGAAGGUGUCUCCGGGCCAGUGGCUUGAGGCGCUGCCACCGUCGGAAGUUACUGUACACGCUCUGGUGGUUCGAGCAGUCCUCCUGCGAGGCGUAGGGCUGGUUGGUGUCCAGGCUGCCCUCCCUGGAAGUGCCGUGUGGCCAUGGCCCAGAGUUCACCGGGCGAAUGUUAGGGGCCAUCUGGGCAGCUGGUGGUGGAGCUUGAGGAGGAAAGCCUGGGGUCCAGCCUCCCCUGCCAGCCUGAGUAACUCCAACAGCUGGAGCAGUCACAAUGGUCUCCAUCGCAGGGGUGGCUAAGAAUAUGGGUGCAGGACAUGCAGCACUCCCGCUGAGGGCCCCUGGAGCGCUCCAGUUGAGGGGGCCCUGAGGAACGAUAAAGGUCGGAGUCUGGGGGGCCUGCACUGGCCUCCCUUGUGACCUGACUCGGACAGUGAAGUUGCAAGCCCCAGGGGCACGGGGGCCACAGCCACCGUUAGCCACCAAAGGCAUCCUGGGGAAAGCCGGCAGCAGCAGGCCGCUGCCAGGAGGGAAUGCGGGGGCGAUGAGAGGUGGCAGGUGCUGCUCCCAGGGGGGCCGGUGCUGGGCGCCAGGAAUGGGUGGAGGAAAGGACACUGCCGUGAAAGUAGACAAGGAGGCACCGGGGUUCAUGGGGACAUCCGUUCCCAGCACUGCAGAUGCUGUUGAGGCAAAGGAAAGGAGUGAAUGGAGGAGGAGAAUGGGCAAGUGGGACUGAGGCUUUCUGCGGCAUCAGAGUGUAAAUCACAGAUGAGAGACACUUGGACAGGGGAAACUGCAGCGGGCAAAUAUCUUCAAGUGAUUUUCAUGCCCUGACCUCCAGUUGAGAAUUAUUCCACUGGUGACCCCACGCCCAUCCACCAAGCUCCCUGACCCCUGCCUGCCAAGAAGAAAUUGCCUCAGCAAGAACUCACUUGGAGAGCCUCCCUAAGGCACACCCUGGCACCUAAGCCUCACAGGCUGUCUCCCAAGACCUGGAGCUGUGUGGACAUCCGCUCUGUGAGAAAUGCCCCUCGGCCGGCGUACUAGCAGGUAGGGGCCUUCUGCAAGGAUGAACUGACCCUUUUAUUCACUAUUCUACAUCAAGCUGCAAACCCAUCAGAGGGAACCAUGUGAUCACUGUAGCCACCAGCUGACCCCACAGCCACCUUGUGCCUCCCUUGGAGCCACCCAAGCAUUUCUGCGCCUUCUUUAUGGUGCAUUUUAAAAAGAUGGCAGAGAUGAGAGUUCCUGAGAAGACCAGAAAGGACAUUUGCAUCUCAAAGAUACAGGCA